rnacentral:rRNA from 1 species
GAUGAACGCUGGCGGCGUGCCUAAUACAUGCAAGUCGAGCGAAUGGAUUAAGAGCUUGCUCUUAUGAAGUUAGCGGCGGACGGGUGAGUAACACGUGGGUAACCUGCCCAUAAGAUUGGGAUAACUCCGGGAAACCGGGGCUAAUACCGGAUAAUAUUUUGAACUGCAUGGUUAAAAAUUGAAAGGCGGCUUCGGCUGUCACUUAUUGAUGGACCGGCGUCGCAUUAGCUAGUUGGUGAGGUAACGGCUCACCAAGGCAACGAUGCGUAGCAGACCUGGGAGGGUGAUCGGCCACACUGGGACUGAGAAACGGCCCAGACUCCUACGGGAGGCAGCAGUAGGGAAUCUUCCGCAAUGGACGAAAGUCUGACGGAGCAACGCCGCGUGAGUGAUGAAGGCUUUCGGGUCGUAAAACUCUGUUGUUAGGGAAGAACAAGUGCUAGUUGAAUAAGCUGACACCUUGACGGUACCUAACCAGAAAGCCACGGCUAACUACGUGCCAGCCGCCGCAGUAA